rnacentral:lncRNA from 1 species
UCCCGCGGUCGUGCCUUUCGAAGCGUUAUCUACUCGAAAUCGAUCUUGUCCUGCCAUUUUCGAGCGUUUGUCCUGCGUUUAAUCGGCGUAUAGAAAAUUAGCAGGCGGUGAUAAAAUUUAUGACAGAUCAUUACUUUUCACAAAGCAAAGUCUUCAAAAUAAAUUCUUAAUUACCAAAUCCUUAUAAUUUUGUUGUAAAAUGAUAUUAGUGCGAACAAACCAAAUAAAAAAAAAUCCCUGGACGGAAUCCAGCAGCGGUGGAUAAAUUGGCCUUUCCGGGGAAACCAUUUUGAUCGGUGAGGAUUCGGUCCUCCGAGCAACAUGACAAUGUUGACAAUGGUCUUCACCAUCAGGGAUAAGCAGUUGUCGGUCCUUUGGGCGGUGCGGUGGAGGAAGAGACAAGGACACAAACAAAACAUGCAAGAGCUGCUUCUUUGGAUCAAAAUCGGCACACACUGAAGACAAAAAUACAUCAAUCAUCAA